GUCCCGGUUUAAGCGUGUAGGUGUGUGUUCCAGGUAAAUCCGGUUCACUUUAACACUGAGGCGUGAUGACGAGGCACCACGGUGCUGAAGCAACAAAUGCCCUGCUUCCAGGAAAAGCCUCUAAGCAUCAGGUAACAUCAAAUCGUACCCCAAACCGACACAGGUGGUCAGGUAGAGAAUACCAAGGCGCUUGAGAGAACUCGGGUGAAGGAACUAGGCAAAAUGGUGCCGUAACUUCGGGAGAAGGCACGCUGACACGUAGGUGAAGUGAUUUACUCAUGGAGCUGAAGUCAGUCGAAGAUACCAGCUGGCUGCAACUGUUUAUUAAAAACACAGCACUGUGCAAACACGAAAGUGGACGUAUACGGUGUGACGCCUGCCCGGUGCCGGAAGGUUAAUUGAUGGGGUCAGCGCAAGCGAAGCUCCUGAUCGAAGCCCCGGUAAACGGCGGCCGUAACUAUAACGGUCCUAAGGUAGCGAAAUUCCUUGUCGGGUAAGUUCCGACCUGCACGAAUGGCGUAAUGAUGGCCAGGCUGUCUCCACCCGAGACUCAGUGAAAUUGAACUCGCUGUGAAGAUGCAGUGUACCCGCGGCAAGACGGAAAGACCCCGUGAACCUUUACUAUAGCUUGACACUGAACAUUGAGCCUUGAUGUGUAGGAUAGGUGGGAGGCUUUGAAGCGUGGACGCCAGUCUGCGUGGAGCCGACCUUGAAAUACCACCCUUUAAUGUUUGAUGUUCUAACGUGGACCCGUAAUCCGGGUUGCGGACAGUGUCUGGUGGGUAGUUUGACUGGGGCGGUCUCCUCCUAAAGAGUAACGGAGGAGCACGAAGGUUGGCUAAUCCUGGUCGGACAUCAGGAGGUUAGUGCAAUGGCAUAAGCCAGCUUGACUGCGAGCGUGACGGCGCGAGCAGGUGCGAAAGCAGGUCAUAGUGAUCCGGUGGUUCUGAAUGGAAGGGCCAUCGCUCAACGGAUAAAAGGUACUCCGGGGAUAACAGGCUGAUACCGCCCAAGAGUUCAUAUCGACGGCGGUGUUUGGCACCUCGAUGUCGGCUCAUCACAUCCUGGGGCUGAAGUAGGUCCCAAGGGUAUGGCUGUUCGCCAUUUAAAGUGGUACGCGAGCUGGGUUUAGAACGUCGUGAGACAGUUCGGUCCCUAUCUGCCGUGGGCGCUGGAGAAUUGAGGGGGGCUGCUCCUAGUACGAGAGGACC
rnacentral:rRNA from 1 species